CACGUAGGGCGCAAGCGUUGUCCGGAAUUAUUGGGCGUAAAGAGCUCGUAGGCGGUCUGUUACGUCUGCUGUGAAAACCCAGGGCUUAACCCUGGGCUUGCAGUGGAUACGGGCAGACUAGAGGCAGGUAGGGGAGAAUGGAAUUCCCGGUGUAGCGGUGAAAUGCGCAGAUAUCGGGAGGAACACCGGUGGCGAAGGCGGUUCUCUGGGCCUGACCUGACGCUGAGGAGCGAAAGCAUGGGGAGCAAACAGG
rnacentral:rRNA from 1 species